rnacentral:rRNA from 1 species
AUUGAACGCUGGCGGCAUGCCUUACACAUGCAAGUCGAGCGGCAGCGCGGGGGCAACCCUGGCGGCGAGCGGCGGACGGGUGAGUAAUACAUCGGAACGUGUCCUUUCGUGGGGGAUAACCAGUCGAAAGACUGGCUAAUACCGCAUGAGAUCUCACGAUGAAAGCGGGGGACCGCAAGGCCUCGCGCGAUUGGAGCGGCCGAUGUCGGAUUAGCUAGUUGGCGGGUAAAAGCCCACCAAGGCUACGAUCCGUAGCUGGUUUGAGAGAACGACCAGCCACACUGGGACUGAGACACGGCCCAGACUCCUACGGGAGGCAGCAGUGGGGAAUUUUGGACAAUGGGGGCAACCCCUGAUCCAGCCAUGCCGCGUGUGUGAAGAAGGCC